GCUGACGUGUGAUUUGCAGACCUUUUGAUUUUUGACGCAACUUCAGUCACACGAGAGUUUCUUUUUCUUUUUUUUUCCUAAAUUUUAUUCGCAAUUUUAUCCAUUUUUGGGGAUUCGCCGACAACCGCCAAAUCUCUGCAAUUCAAAGCUCCCCCUACCUGGAAUCCGUACAUUUCGGUAUCAGCAAGUUGCUGCAAAAGAAGCAUAAAGCUGUUUUCUUUUGCCUGAUGCACUCCAGUUUUUAAGCCUCAGAACUUGGGAUUGUUCAAAUGUCAGAAGGUGACAUGACUGUUAUUGAACCUGAGAUGAUGAAGUCUUAUAUCUGGCUUCAGACUACCGACGGUUCAAUCCAACAAGUGGUACAGGAGGUUGACAUGUUGUUUGCACUCAAAAUAUACCCAUUUUUACUUAUUUGGGCAAUUUGGGUAAAAUAUGACAUUUGGAGGAUUAAUAUGCAAGAAAGCUAACUUGGAAAGAUAUUUAGAUGCAAGUGGAGGGGUUGGACACUAUAAUAUUGUUUCUCCUAUUUGUUUGGGUGGUGGAGGUUUGUCUAGCAUUUGUUUAAUCAAGAUACAUGCAUGUAUUGCAAGUGGAUGGAAAAGCAUCAGCAAGCUUUCGGGCAAGGAACAUGUGAAAGAAGCCAACUUGCUUCUUUUAAAUGUUAGUUUAUUACAAGUGGGAAAACAUGUGCUAAAAGCUUGUGGUGGAAAUGCAAGUUCCCCUUUUAAUAUUAUUUCUCCAUGCAAGUUGGCAAGUGAAAAGCAUGCAAGCUGUCUAAAGCAAUGAAAUACAAGCUGCCCAAGCUUCUUUCGGGCAGAUACAAAACCUCAGCAGGAGGGUUUCCUCCAGACCUCUAUAAAAAGGAGCAGCUGCACAAGGAUUAUGGACACUCAAACAAACAAACAAAAGCCAAAACUC